AUUGCUACAGUUUUGAAACACAAACGUCCACUGGGGUCGCUAAAGAGAAGGACUGCAUGUGACAUUGCAAUCGACAGUAAGAGCAGAGGUUCCAGUCAUAUCAAAGAGGAAGAAGAGUAAAGUUUUUUUUUUUUUUAGCCUAUCAAGGAACAGGAGAUUUGAAGAUCAUCUGUAAUCUCACUAUCUUUCUGCCUCUUGCAGUACAACGCAGACAGGUGUUAAAAAAUAAAUGACUGAGAGAGUCAUCUGAUCAGCCUAUACCAGAGAAAAAUAUGGAGGAGGAAUUACACCGUGAUCUUGAGGAAAUAAUGGCUGAUUUGGAGGAGAUGCACCUCAACAUGUUUAGGGGCGAGAUAUUUGCAUACCCUCUGUUUCUGCAGAAGGAACUGGCCACAAAAACAAACUGCAAGUUCUUCUGCACUGACAUCAUGUGUCAAUAUUGGUCCUAUCUGCAAGAGGUGGCUCAAGCAUUCCCAGAAAUGGAAAACUUGACUCAGAUGAAGCCAUUUCUCUCAGUUAUGAAUGCAAAGGGGCACGCUACAAAUUGUGAGGUAAAUGUAUAUUCUCGAACAAUAUGGUAACUAAGCCUUUUACCAUUUUGAUAUCCAUGAACUUGAUAUUUUUAAUCUGGUGUGCAUGCUGUAGGUGCAGUGGGGUGGCAAAAACCAAACAGGGGCAGCUUGCUUUUUAUUAUUAUUAUUAUUAUUAUUUCAUUCAUCAUACUCUGUGACUAACCACUAAUUGAAAAGCACAUUUAUGCCUUUCAUCAUUACAGCACGAGUAGAUAUGAUCACAUUGCAUGCCAGAGGCCCACAUAGCAAAUGUCUUCUGGCCCAGAUCCGGGCUACACAAUCACUUUUCCCUCGGUCCAAGUGCUGCAAAGAAUGA